GCUGGCGUGGUGGAAUUGGUAUACACGCGUGCCUUAGGAGCACGUUCCGCAAGGAGUGAGAGUUCGAUUCUCUCCGCCAGCA
rnacentral:tRNA from 1 species